AUGAUCCGUGUUCUUCUAUUGCUUCUCUUGCCAUAUGUACCCCAAUGGGCAUCAGUGAGAGCAUUCAACAAUAAGACUGAUGUGGAUUCCUUGCUAGUGUUCAAGGCAAGCAUUGCCAACCACCAUGGUGUCCUAGCUGCAUGGAACACAAGUACUGACUUCUGCCGGUGGCCAGGGAUCGGUUGCAGCCUUAAGCACAAGCACAGGGUCACAGUGCUUAACCUCUCUUCAGAGGGCCUUGGUGGGACGAUCGCACCUUCCAUUGGAAACCUCUCCUUCCUGAGAAUUAUAGACCUCAGAUGGAACAACUUGCAAGGUGAAAUCCCUUCAGAAAUUGGUCUUCUGCCUCGCCUACGACAUCUUCAUUUGUCAAACAACUCACUUCAUGGAGAUGUAAACGCUAGAUUGAAUAAUUGCACCAGCCUUGAAGUAAUAAACAUUGACUCAAACCGUUUAACUGGAGAAAUCCCUGCUUGGCUCGGAGACUUGUCAAGUCUCAAGGUCAUAGACCUGAGCACAAACAACUUCACUGGAAUCAUCCCGUCAUCACUUAGCAAUCUCACAGCAGCGAUAACUAUCUAUUUCAACACAAACCAACUCACGGGGGCCAUCCCUGAGGGCCUUUGCAGGGUCGGUAGCCUUCUCUGGCUAGACCUGGCAGAUAAUCACCUCUCAGGCACCAUACCUACAGCGCUCUUCAACCUUUCCUCUCUAAAAGAGUUCAGUGUGGAAGCAAACGAUUUAGGCGGUAAACUACCCUCAGACUUUGGGGAUCACCUCCCAAAUGUAGAGUACCUACUCCUCGGCGGCAACCACUUUAUAGGGAACCUUCCAGCAUCUCUUGUCAACUCAACUGAGAUAUAUGUACUAGAUGUCCCCUACAACAACUUCACCGGAAGAUUGCCUCCUGAGGUUGGAAGGCUCUGCCCAGACUUGCUCAGUCUUGGAGCAAAUCAGUUCAUGGCAGCAACAGUGCAGGACUGGGAGUUCAUGACAUUGUUGACAAACUGCACACGCCUCCGUGUCUUGAACCUCCAAUUCAACAUGCUAGGUGGCGUGCUCCCUAGCUCAGUUGCCAACCUAUCAUCACAGCUCCAAGGGCUAUAUGUUGGAGCCAACGAGAUUUCUGGAAAGAUACCAUUUGGCAUAGGCAAUCUUCUUGGGCUAAAUCGAUUGCAGCUAUCUGGUAAUCAAUUUACUGGUGCCUUGCCUGACACCAUAGGGAGGCUAAAUUGGCUACAAUCCCUGGAGUUGGAAGACAACCUACUGACAGGAUUCAUGCCAUCCUCGCUUGGAAACUUGACACAGCUACUACAAGUGUACACAGGUAAUAACACAUUUGAGGGGCCUCUUCCAGCAAGCCUUGGGAGCCUACAAGAGCUAACUGCAGCAAACUUUGCGAACAACAAGUUCACAGGUCCAUUGCCUACAGGGAUCUUUAACUUGUCGUCCCUAUCAGACACCCUGGAUUUGUCAGGAAAUUACUUUGUUGGUCCUCUUCCACCUGAAGUAGGCAGCCUGGCAAAGCUUGCACACCUCUACUUAUCACGGAACAACUUAUCAGGGCCUCUACCAAAUGCACUCAGCAACUGCCAAAGCUUGACAGAACUCAUGCUGGAUGAUAACACCUUUGAUGGUAGCAUUCCCUCAUCUAUCAGCAACAUGCGAGGCCUGAUGCUGCUAAAUCUUACAAAGAACACACUUUCAGGUUUGAUUCCUCAGGAUUUAGGGCUAAUGGAUGGCCUUGAAGAGUUAUACCUAGCACACAACAACUUGUCUGGUCAUAUCCCAGAGAGCUUGGAAAAUGUGUCAUCAUUGUACCAGUUAGACCUGUCCUUCAACCAUUUGGAUGGCAAAGUUCCAUCACGGGGUGUAUUCAGUAAUGCAUCUGGGUUUUCGUUUGAUGGGAAUUUGGGGCUUUGUGGUGGUAUAUCAGAGUUACAUUUGCCUCCAUGCCAGCCCGAAUCUGUUGGACAUGGAUUGAGCAAACGCCAUUUGACUAUCACCCUAGUUAUCGCAAUUGUUGGCACAAUUAUGGGUUUGAGUUUGAUGCUCGUUUCCUUCACAAUGAGAAAGAAAUCAAAAGCUCGGCCUGCAACCACAGGAGGAUUCCAGUUGAUGGAUGACAGUUAUCCCAGAGUUACUUAUGCUGAAUUGGAACAAGGAACAAGUGGCUUUGUAGCAGAGAAUUUGAUUGGCAGAGGAAGGUACGGAUCGGUGUAUAAGUGUUGUUUGCUGCUCAAAAAUAUGAUGACCACAGUAGCUAUAAAGGUUUUUGAUCUUCAACAGUCUGGCUCUUCCAGAAGUUUCCUAGCUGAGUGUGAGGCACUUAGUAAGAUCCGCCAUCGUAAUUUGAUCAGUCUUAUAACUUGUUGUUCAAGCUCUGACCCGAACCAAAACGACUUCAAAGCAAUUGUGUUCGAGUUCAUGCCUAAUGGGAGCCUAGAUAGGUGGUUACACAUGGAUGCACAUGCAUCGCACCAACUCCAAGGCUUGACAUUGACGCAGAGACUAAAUAUUGCAGUCGAUAUUGCUGAUGCACUAGAUUAUUUGCACAACAACUGUGAACCACCAAUAAUUCAUUGUGACUUGAAGCCAAGCAACAUUCUUCUCAAUGAGGAUUUAGUUGCUCAUGUUGGGGACUUUGGCCUUGCAAAGAUUCUUUCUGAACCAGCAGCUGAGCAACUGAUAAAUUCAAAGAGCACAGUUGGAAUAAGAGGAACAAUUGGAUACGUCGCUCCAGAAUAUGGCGAAGGUGGUCAUGUUUCUUCAUCUGGAGAUGUAUUGUCAUCCUCGAGUUGUUUACAGGCAUGGCACCUACUCAUGACAUGUUCAGAGAUGGGUUGA
rnacentral:rRNA from 1 species